rnacentral:rRNA from 1 species
UACGUAGGGUGCAAGCGUUAAUCGGAAUUACUGGGCGUAAAGCGUGCGCAGGCGGUUGUGUAAGUCAGGUGUGAAAUCCCCGGGCUUAACCUGGGAACUGCACUUGUGACUGCACAGCUGGAGUACGGCAGAGGGGGAUGGAAUUCCGCGUGUAGCAGUGAAAUGCGUAGAUAUGCGGAGGAACACCGAUGGCGAAGGCAGUCCCCUGGGCCUGUACUGACGCUCAUGCACGAAAGCGUGGGGAGCAAACAGG